GUGAGCAUAAUGGAAUUGGUAGAUGUGCUAGAUUCAAGGUCUAGCUUGGAAAUAUGUGCGAGUUCAAAUCUCACUGCUCGUA
rnacentral:tRNA from 1 species